GCAUCUUUUGUCUUCUUACACAUUAUAAAGUAUUUCUUACCAAAAUAGAAGAAAGUUCCGGGUUUCAAGGAUUCCGGCUAACGGAGAAGGCUGCUGUUCCUACCAGAAAUCAGUUUCAAAUGCGAGUAUGUGACAGACUUUGAGGCAAGAGGAUGUCUUUUAAAUGCUUUUAACACCCUUAUUUACUUGAAUAAUGAACAAUUUUUUUCAAUUUUAAAUGAAUACAGAGAUUUUAACGCGUUGUGCAUUUUUCAGUAUUUUACCCCUAAGAGCCAGGCAAAACCUUAAGGCUGUAAUUUUUGUUUUUCACAGGCAUAACCCUUCAAUUCUAGGCCUAAUGAUAAAACUUUGAAUUAGUUAGUAUCAACAUAAAAACAAUACUGUAACAAACUUCUAAACCAUUGCAUAAUUUUUUGUCCUGCAGAUUGAUCCAGUAACACUUGGACCUCAUUUUCCAGUUACCCUGCAAUGGAUCUUGUUGUAGCUUAUCUGCAUGAUCGAGCUUUACGACGUGAACGAAGGUAUCGGGACCCUUUGGAUCCCAAAAAUAUAAGCGAUGAAAAUCAAAUUAGAUAUAGGUUUCCUCGAUGUGAAAUUCUAAGACUGUGUUAAGAUUUAGAUCCAUUUUUAAGGCGUAGAACGAGAAGAUCUCAUGCUGUUCCCAUACACACGCAAGUGUUAGUUGCCUUAAGAUUUUAUGCCAAUGGAACCUUUCAACAUGUACUUAGUGAUACAGCUGAAGCUGUAGCAGGGACAGGCCAAGCAGUCCGAGCCAAUGUAGUCCGUAAUUGGUUUACUUGAUGAAUUAAAAUCAAAUAUCAAUUCACCAAUACAAUUUUCCUCUAUGUUUAAAUAGUACUUUUUAGUGCAGUAUACAGAGGUAAUGCGAAUAAAGCGUACAUUGAUUUAACUUUUAUUUUCAAUAUUCUGUACAUAAAAAAAUAAACUUCUUUAUAGAAAUUAAA
rnacentral:lncRNA from 1 species